CGCCUCCUCUGCAGUCCGCGCAUGCGCAGUAGGUUGAUUGGAGGACUUAGUCUAUUUCCUGGAGUUGUCUUUUGUGUGUUGCCUGUGAGGCUGUGAAACUUAGUUUUUUUUCAAGAGUAGAUUUUUAGUAGUAUUAGGCAUAAAUAUAUCAACAGUAAUAACUUUGUGUAGAUUUUUAGAUGAAAUAGUACAAUUAGUGAGUAAUUUAUCUUCAGGAUGGACAAGAAAAUGAAAUCUUCAGGUAAGCAUUCUCAAUUCUAUAUGUACAGUACAU